AAUAGCCUACGGGAGGCAGCAGUGGGGAAUAUUGCACAAUGGGGGAAAUCCUGAUGCAGCGACGCCGCGUGAAGGAAGGAGUAUCUCGGUAUGUAAACUUCUAUCGGCAGGGAAGAAAACGGACGGUACCUGACUAAGAAGCCCCGGCUAACUACGUGCCAGCAGCCGCGGUAAUACGUAGGGGGCGAGCGUUAUCCGGAUUUACUGGGUGUAAAGGGAGCGGAGACGGCUGGGCAAGCCUGAUGUGAAAGGCGGGGGCGCAACCCUCGGACUGCAUUGGGGACUG
rnacentral:rRNA from 1 species